UAAAAUUCGGUAAAAGACUGAAAUUUAACUACAAUAUUGGCUGAGUUUGGAAUUUUUUCAAAGUUGAAAUUCGGUAAAAAACUGAAAUCUAACUUUGAAAAUCACUAGACACGUAAAUAUUCCACAAGGGAAUAACCACGUAACAGCCAAUACUCGGUUUAGAUAGCUAAAAACGCAAAAUUUGAGUAAAAUCUCAAAAUUUUGAAAAAUAACGCUAUGUGAAACGUUACGCGUUACGUUACGGGCAGAAACGUGAGCCACCACAUCCGCAUGUACUCUGACGAAAUAACACCGGCGAAAAUGUGCUCUUAUCACCAUUUCAUUACUUCGAAGGAAAAUUUGACUGACUUAUAAGUUGUUCCAAGUAAAAUUGCGAUCUUUUUGAAUAAUUGAAGCUGUUUUAAGGUUCAUCCACGUAUUAAAUUACUGUUCAUCGAUUUCUACAGUGCCAGCUGUAUUGAAACGAAAAAAUGGAAGCCCAACCGAAUAUUGUCCACCACGAGCACACUAUAUCGACGCAACGUAUUCGUCAGACGUGUCGUAUUAGAAAAAUCAACGGCGAAAUCUUCAGAAAAUGUUACGUUAGAAAUAACAACGGUAAUGAAACGCCGAAAUGGAUUCAGUUGUCCUACCUGGAGUGGUGGGAUAAUCUCACGGAAAAUACCAACCACUAUCAGGAGUAAUUAAUUAAUACGAUAACGACGGCGCAGAAAUUCCAGCGAAUCGACGUAUUUGCGGGUGAAUCAGCGCACCAGAUUGCGACAAUGAAACACAUACAAGAUGUGAUCAUCGUCGUGAUUAAUUUAGUCAUAUCGUAUCAAUUUGCAUUUCCGUACUUGUUUCCUACACCUUAAAUAUAAAUGUAUUUCGUACCGCUUGCUUUAAUUAGUCAUUCACACUCUCAUUGCACAGCUUAACAUUGCAUACUUCGCCAAAAGUAAACAAUGUACGCUCUCUCACAGCUUAAUUACACGCAAAUGAACAAAUGGAUACUUCGUAGGAAGUAACCUAACGUUCAACAUAUGCCUCACAUAAUUAACAACUCAACCGCUUGAGAGUAUUUUAAUCAAACUCGAUACUAAUAUCGUUCUCGAUCGAUUAUUUAGUGCUCAAGAAAAAAGGGAAGCUGCAAUUAAGCAAUGAUGAAGGCUGAAAUGAAAAAUACAUCGAAUAACUACAAAUACAAAUUCAGGUAACAACUCGAAGUUUAUUUGUAUACUAAAUUAUUCGAUGAUAAAAGCAAGCAACGUGAAUAUUACACAUCAAUGGUAAAAUGAAUUUAUACAAUGAAUUCAUCACAUUCGGUUUUCGUUUCAAAAUAGUUAGCAACAAGCUACGUGAGUUGAAAAUUACUCUAAUAAGAGUUGGUUUCGAACUUAUGAUUAGAUUUUGAAAGUUAGCAUUACAUCUACGAUCAAUUCACCGGCGAGUGAAAUGAUUCUAACGUGGAAGAGCUACGAAGAUGAAACCGAACGUUGAUGCAAAACUUUCUUUAUGGUAAAAUAAAACAUCAUUAAAGUACCAACUACAUACUUCAACGUAAGUAAAUAGUAAGUACUGUACGAUCUCUCAAAGUACAGAUUGUCAUGAUGGCGUUUAUUUUUUGAAAUCACCUAAUAGUGAGAAUUAAUUUAGCGACGAUGAU